AAGUCGUAACAAGGUUUCCGUAGGUGAACCUGCGGAAGGAUCAUUAACAAAUUUUAUUUAAAAAGAAAAACAACCGUGCAAAGAGAUUGAGGAUGGGGGGGGUAUUACACCUAUUCAUUCUUUUAUUCUAUAAAAAAGCCUUUAAAAAUGUAGUCAAUUUUAUACAUAAUAAUAUAUAUAUAACUUUUAACAAUGGAUCUCUAGGCUCUC
rnacentral:misc_RNA from 1 species